GGGCGUGUAGCUCAGCUGGGAGAGCGCUAGAAUCGCACUCUAGAGGUCCGGGGUUCGAUCCCCCGCACGUCCA
rnacentral:tRNA from 1 species